GAUGAAGAACGUAGCGAAAUGCGAUAAGUAAUGUGAAUUGCAGAAUUCAGUGAAUCAUCGAAUCUUUGAACGCAUCUUGCGCUCCUUGGUAUUCUGAGGAGCAUGCCUGUUUGAGUGUCAUUAAAUUCUCAACUACACUGACUUUGAAUUGGUGUGGCUUGGAUUUGGGGGGAAAAUUGUUGUGGGCUUUUUGUAUAGUCUGCUCCCCUGAAAUUGAUUAGCGGUACCUUUGUGGAACUGUCUACAGGUGUGAUAAUUAUCUACAUCUUAGACAUCUGCUGGAAUGCUGCUUUCUAAACCUUACUUGUAUUGACAAUCUUGACCUCAAAUCAGGAAGGACUACCCGCUGAACUUAAGCAUAUCAAUAAGCGGAGGA
rnacentral:misc_RNA from 1 species